rnacentral:misc_RNA from 1 species
GGACCCGGCUGACGCUGGGUCC